rnacentral:rRNA from 1 species
CUAGCUUGCUAGAUGUCCUUAGUGGCGAACGGGUGAGUAACGCGUGGGAACCUACCUUGGAGCGGGGAAUAACUAUUGGAAACGAUAGCUAAUACCGCAUACGCCCUCAGGGGGAAAGGCUUCGGCCACUCUAAGACGGUCCCGCGUCUGAUUAGCUUGUUGGUGAGGUAACGGCUCACCAAGGCGACGAUCAGUAGCUGGUCUGAGAGGAUGAUCAGCCACACUGGGACUGAGACACGGCCCAGACUCC